rnacentral:miRNA from 1 species
AAUGGAUCCGAUGGAUCUGAUAUCAGAUCCAUUUUUUUUAUAUAACUAAGAUCCAUUGGAUCCAUCGGAUCCAUUUUUUUUAUAUAACUAAAAUCCAUUGGAUCCAUCAGAUCCAUCGGAUCCAU